rnacentral:rRNA from 1 species
CACAGCGAUGUGAUGCUAAUCUCCAAACCAUGUCUCAGUUCGGAUCGGAGUCUGCAACUCGACUCCGUGAAGCUGGAUUCGCUAGUAAUCGCGCAUCAGCCAUGGCGCGGUGAAUACGUUCCCGGGCCUUGUACACACCGCCCGUCAAGCCAUGGGAGCCGGGGGUACCUGAAGUCCGUAACCGCGAGGAUCGGCCUAGGGUAAAACUGGUGACUGGGGCUAAGUCGUAACAAGGUACC